rnacentral:rRNA from 1 species
CCGUUGCCGGCGACCGGCGCACGGGUGAGUAACACGUAUGCAACCUGCCCGUGGCAGGGGGAGUAAGCGGGGGAAACCCCGUCUAAUACCGCGUAACGCGGCCUAGGGACAUCCCAAGGCCGCCAAGGGAGCAAUCCCGGCCACGGAUGGGCAUGCGGCGCAUUAGCUAGUCGGCGGGGUAACGGCCCACCGAGGCGACGAUGCGUAGGGGUUCGUGAGAGGAAGGCCCCCCACACUGGUACUGAGACACGGACCAGACUCCUACGGGAGGCAGCAG